UACAGAGGGUGCGAGCGUUGUUCGGAAUUAUUGGGCGUAAAGGGCGCGUAGGCGGUGCGGUAAGUCACCUGUGAAAUCUCCUGGCUCAACUGGGAGCUUGCAGGCGAAACUGCCGUGCUGGAGUGUGGGAGAGGUGCGUGGAAUUCCCGGUGUAGCGGUGAAAUGCGCAGAUAUCGGGAGGAACACCGGUGGCGAAGGCGGUUCUCUGGGCCUUACCUGACGCUGAGGAGCGAAAGCUAGGGGAGCAAACAGG
rnacentral:rRNA from 1 species